rnacentral:rRNA from 1 species
UACGAAGGGGGCUAGCGUUGUUCGGAUUUACUGGGCGUAAAGCGCACGUAGGCGGAUCGUUAAGUCGGGGGUGAAAUCCUGGAGCUCAACUCCAGAACUGCCUUCGAUACUGGCGAUCUUGAGUCCGGAAGAGGUGAGUGGAACUCCUAGUGUAGAGGUGGAAUUCGUAGAUAUUCGGAGGAACACCAGUGGCGAAGGCGGCUCACUGGUCCGGUACUGACGCUGAGGUGCGGAAAGCCAGGGGAGCAAACGGG